rnacentral:rRNA from 1 species
UACGAAGGGGGCUAGCGUUGCUCGGAAUCACUGGGCGUAAAGGGUGCGUAGGCGGGUCUUUAAGUCAGGGGUGAAAUCCUGGGGCUCAACUCCAGAACUGCCUUUGAUACUGAAGAUCUUGAGUUCGGGAGAGGUGAGUGGAACUGCGAGUGUAGAGGUGAAAUUCGUAGAUAUUCGCAAGAACACCAGUGGCGAAGGCGGCUCACUGGCCCGAUACUGACGCUGAGGCACGAAAGCGUGGGGAGCAAACAGG